rnacentral:rRNA from 1 species
GAUGAACGCUGGCGGCGUGCCUAAUACAUGCAAGUCGAGCGAACAGACGAGGAGCUUGCUCCUCUGACGUUAGCGGCGGACGGGUGAGUAACACGUGGAUAACCUACCUAUAAGACUGGGAUAACUUCGGGAAACCGGAGCUAAUACCGGAUAAUAUAUUGAACCGCAUGGUUCAAUAGUGAAAGACGGUUUUGCUGUCACUUAUAGAUGGAUCCGCGCCGCAUUAGCUAGUUGGUAAGGUAACGGCUUACCAAGGCAACGAUGCGUAGCCGACCUGAGAGGGUGACCGGCCACACUGGAACUGAGACACGGUCCAGACUCCUACGGGAGGCAGCAGUAGGGAAUCUUCCGCAAUGAGCGAAAGCCUGACGGAGCAACGCCGCGUGAGUGAUGAAGGUCUUCGGAUCGUAAAACUCUGUUAUUAGGGAAGAACAAAUGUGUAAGUAACUAUGCACGUCUUGACGGUACCUAAUCAGAAAGCCACGGCUAACUACGUG